UACAGAGACUGCAAGCGUUAUUCGGAUUCACUGGGCGUAAAGGGUGCGCAGGCGGCCGAGUGUGUGAGGCGUGAAAGCCCGGGGCUCAACCCCGGAAUUGCACCUCAAACUACAUGGCUAGAGCAUUGGAGAGGGAAGCGGAAUUCACGGUGUAGCAGUGAAAUGCGUAGAUAUCGUGAGGAACACCAGAGGCGAAGGCGGCUUCCUGGACAAUUGCUGACGCUCAGGCACGAAAGCGUGGGGAGCAAAAGGG
rnacentral:rRNA from 1 species